rnacentral:lncRNA from 1 species
AUGAAGUUAUGCCCAAUAACUGUUAGGUGAGGGAUCCAAUGACGGCUUUGCACCUGCUUGUGAAUGGUGGGUCUGACUUAACUAAAAAGUGUGGACAAACUGUUAGGUGAGCCUACAUGACUUAGAGAUCAAAUCGCUGUAAUAUACUUAGAGAAGCAUCUGGAUAAAGAAUUAUCUACGCAUCGGUGUGCAUGUUAUCAAUAACUAUUAGGUGAGGUGCACGGCAUCGGUGGGACUAC